rnacentral:rRNA from 1 species
AAUAACAAUACAAGGCAGUUAAAAUGCUUUGUAAUUGGAAUGAUAGAAAUUUAAACACUUUUUAAAGUAUCAAUUGGAGGGCAAGUCUGGUGCCAGCAGCCGCGGUAAUUCCAGCUCCAAUAGCGUAUAUUAAAAUUGUUGCAGUUAAAAAGCUCGUAGUUGAAUUUCUGUUAAAAAUAACCGGUCUGCUUUUAAUAAAAGUGGUAUCUUGGUGUGUUUUUAGCAAUAAUGUCCUUUGAAAUGUUUUUUACUUUAUUGUAAUAAAUAAUAUUCAGGAUUUUUACUUUGAGAAAAUUAGAGUGUUUCUAGCAGGCUAACGCUUUGAAUACUGCAGCAUGGAAUAAUAAAAUAGGAUUUUAGUUCUACAUUAUUGGUUUUAAGAACUAAAUUAAUGAUUGAUAGGGACAGUUGGGGGCAUUUGUAUUUAACUGUCAGAGGUGAAAUUCUUAGAUUUGUUAAAGACAAACUACUGCGAAAGCAUUUGCCAAAGAUGUUUCAUUAAUCAGGAA